rfam:Atopostipes suicloacalis DSM 15692 genome assembly, contig: EJ15DRAFT_scaffold00042.42
UCCACCGCGAGGUGGAAUCCGAAGGAAGUCGGCGGCAAACACUCGCACUGACGAACAGAAACUUCAUAUCAAGGCUGAACAGGGACGGACGAGCUUGCCAAACAAAGUAAAGUCCGAUACUGCACGAAUCCCACACAGUAAAUGAAGCAGUGACAUGAGUGGAAGGUUGUUAUU